CAUCUCAUUGUUGGUUUCAUUCCUUGUUCCCUAAACAUCUCGUGAUGUCACCGUUGGUUGGGCUUUGUACUUGGUUUUUUGCAGCUCGUUUCCCUGCUCACUAUAGGGUGGCAACAUUAAUUUUGGAUUAAUGCUGCCAUAAGUAUUGUCGAAGUUAGAGAGAGAGAGAGGUAUCCUAGGACUGAGUGGUUGAAAGGAAGAGUGUUUGAUAGAGAGAGAGAGAUCCUAGGACUGUGAGUGGUUGAAAGGAAGAGUGUUUGGUGUGUGUUUGAGAGAAAAAUGUGGGGAUGAAGAGGGGCGAUAUACUGUGAUUCUGACAGUCAAGAGGCUAUUGGUGCAUCACAUAGAGAGAGAGAGAGAGGUGUGAAUGUUAUUGGUAUAGAGAGAGAAGAGAGAGAGAGAGAGAGAAGAGAGAGAUGUGAAUGUGAUUGGUUAAAGAGAGGGAGAGGAUGUUGGUAAAUUGUGCAGUUUUCGAUAGUGUUGGUAAGUGCGCUUCUUUACUUCAGAUUCACUUAGGCGUAGCUUAAAGAGAACAUCAUAUACAUGCCCCAUUUGACAUUUUCUCUUCCUUUUCCUUUAACUACAGGGUAACUGCCCUUUCCAUUUCUUAUCACCAGAUCAUCAACCUCAACUACCGCAUGUGCUAGAAGGUCCAGAAAUAAAGGAUAAACCAGUGUUUGUAAAAUCGAAUCGGAAGGGUCAAUCGGACAUGAGCCUUGAAGCGAUUUAACCGGUCUAACCGGUAAAUCGGCUGAUUCAACCGCUCCAAUCAGAUAAGUCCAGAAUGAUUAAAAAAAUAUUAAAAAGGUAAAAAAAAA
rnacentral:lncRNA from 1 species